AACCAGCACCUCAAGUGGUCAGGAUGAUUAUUGGGCCUAAAGCAUCCGUAGCCGGCUCUGUAAGUUUUCGGUUAAAUCUGUACGCUCAACGUACAGGCUGCCGGGAAUACUGCAGAGCUAGGGAGUGGGAGAGGUAGACGGUACUCGGUAGGAAGGGGUAAAAUCCUUUGAUCUAUUGAUGACCACCUGUGGCGAAGGCGGUCUACCAGAACACGUCCGACGGUGAGGGACGAAAGCCAGGGGAGCGAAAGGG
rnacentral:rRNA from 1 species